CUACGGGCGGCACCAGUGGGGAAUAUUGCACAAUGGGGGAAACCCUGAUGCAGCAACGCCGCGUGGAGGAUGACACAUUUCGGUGCGUAAACUCCUUUUAUAGGUCAAGAUAAUGACGGUAGCCUAUGAAUAAGCGCCGGCUAACUCCGUGCCAGCAGCCGCGGUAAUACGGAGGGCGCAAGCGUUACUCGGAAUCACUGGGCGUAAAGAGCAUGUAGGCGGGUUAAUAAGUCAGAAGUGAAAUCCAAUAGCUCAACUAUUGAACUGCUUUUGAAACUGUUAACCUAGAGUGUGGGAGAGGUAGAUGGAAUUUCUGGUGUAGGGGUAAAAUCCGUAGAGAUCAGAAGGAAUACCGAUUGCGAAGGCGAUCUACUGGAACAUUACUGACGCUGAGAUGCGAAAGCGUGGGGAGCAAACAGGAUUAGAUACCCUUGUAGUC
rnacentral:rRNA from 1 species